GCAUAAAUAUUCCAAGGGUAGCAUUGGAGCCUUGCAAGCCUAAAAUCCGGGUUCGAGCCCCGGUUGAUGCA
rnacentral:tRNA from 1 species